AUUUAUAAUUUUAAAUAUUUGUGGUGGUUCUUUGUUACUUAUUUUGUUUGAAUUUGUAACAUGUUCUUGAAGCUAUUCUUUACAGUUACUUGAAUUUUUUAGAUAAAGAGGUAAGAGAGGUAUCAAUAGUAUGGCGAUUGAUGUCGCCUGUGAGGAAAUGCUUGCUCUGUCACGAGAAAAAGGUGGACUUCUUGAUCUGCAAAUGUAAUGUGCUGCACCAAAUACUUCAGAUACCCCAUUUUGAUCGGUUGGUGUGAUGUGUUGUCCAAUUUUUAUGUAGAACUGGGAUUCCUUAGCCACAAUCUAAAGGAUAUUGUUGUACUCCAGCUUAAUCGAUUCCCAAUAUAUGUUAUCAGAAGAAAAGAGUGCUUACUGCUUGAUCUAUUUAGUGGGAGAAGAGAGGAGACCUUAGCCUGAUAUGCUAUCCAUGACGCAAAUAUCUUCUUCUUUCUUCGAGAGUGGAUGCGUUCUACACUGAAGAAUAUCUGCAAGCUUCGGAUGGGAAAAAAAUUGAUAUUGUGAAUAAUUAAGAAAUGCUGAAUCAGAAUUGCUGUGUUGUUCCCACUAACGAGCAUGUGCCAUGUCUAACAACAGAUUGGCCCGGAGACCCCUCCCCGCUGGUAAAAGUGAAUUGACACUUCAUUCACACUCCUUUGAAAGAUUUCGCCACUCCAUACACACCAGAUGUAGGUCUGUUCUUUCCAAUACUUCACAUAGACAAAUGACUUUAUGUUUUAAUUAGAAGUUAUUGUCUCAAUUUCUACUGAUUUUCUUAUGGCUUCCCCACAAGAUUACCUUUUGUAAAGUUUGAUCACUCCAUUUCUUGCGGACUACAGUUUGUUCACUAUAUUUAAUACCAUCUUUAUAUAUCUUUAAUCAGGUCUCCUUCUGUUGAGAACUGCUAACACAUCUCUGAUUAUGAUAUGUGGUAUGGCCUGCCAGGCCAUAAAUAGCAGCUUACUGAUGGAGAUGACAUGAACAAAUCUUUAAUUGAUUUUGUGAGACUUUAACUGGACGUUAAAGUUGGUAGAUGACUAGAUUUUGUAGAUUUAGUUCUAUUAAUUUGUCAUACAUUCAAUUACAGUUUGUGUAUUGGACUUGCUCUGCAGUUUGUGUAAAUUUCACAAACUACAUUG